rnacentral:rRNA from 1 species
GACGAACGCUGGCGGCGUGCUUAACACAUGCAAGUCGAACGGUAAGGCCCUUCGGGGUACACGAGUGGCGAACGGGUGAGUAACACGUGGGUGAUCUGCCCUGCACUUCGGGAUAAGCCUGGGAAACUGGGUCUAAUACCGGAUAGGACUCCGGACUGCAUGGUCUGGGGUGGAAAGCUUUUGCGGUGUGGGAUGGGCCCGCGGCCUAUCAGCUUGUUGGUGGGGUGAUGGCCUACCAAGGCGACGACGGGUAGCCGGCCUGAGAGGGUGACCGGCCAACCUGGGACUGAGAUACGGCCCAGACUCCGACGGGAGGCAGCAGUGGGGAAUAUUGCACAAUGGGCGCAAGCCUGAUGCAGCGACGCCGCGCGAGGGAUGACGGCCUUCGGGUUGUAAACCUCUUUCAGCAUCGACGAAGCGAAAGUGACGGUAGGUGCAGAAGAAGGACCGGCCAACUACGUGCCAGCCGCCGCCGUAA